UACGUAGGGUGCGAGCGUUGUCCGGAAUUAUUGGGCGUAAAGAGCUCGUAGGCGGUCUUUCGCGUCGAUCGUGAAAACUUGGGGCUUAACCCUGAGCUUGCGGUCGAUACGGGCAUGACUGGAGUUCGGCAGGGGAGACUGGAAUUCCUGGUGUAGCGGUGAAAUGCGCAGAUAUCAGGAGGAACACCGGUGGCGAAGGCGGGUCUCUGGGCCGAAACUGACGCUGAGGAGCGAAAGCGUGGGGAGCAAACAGG
rnacentral:rRNA from 1 species